UACAGAGGUCUCAAGCGUUGUUCGGAUUCACUGGGCGUAAAGGGUGCGUAGGUGGUGAGGUAAGUCGGAUGUGAAAGCUCGGAGCUCAACUCCGAAAUGGCAUUGGAAACUACCUUGCUCGAGGGUUGGAGGGGGGACUGGAAUACUUGGUGUAGCAGUGAAAUGCGUAGAUAUCAAGUGGAACACCAGUGGCGAAGGCGAGUCCCUGGACAACUCCUGACACUGAGGCACGAAAGCUAGGGGAGCAAACAGG
rnacentral:rRNA from 1 species